UUGUCAUUGCACAAACCUAGUGAAAUAGAAUCAAACCCAAUUCCAACACAGAUGUGUAUAACUCCGAGAAAGGAUGACCAGUAGACGGAGACGGAAGGACUAAGAUAGUUGAAUAACUAUUUUCGUAGAAUGGAUAGCCCAGGUAAGUAGAGGAGCAUCAAAUGAAAUUUAACUCCACUAUACGCAACACAGCGGUGACGCACGACGCGACGUUUCCUUUUUUUCUCCGGCCCAGGUAUUCUCGCCAUAGAUUUUUUUUAGGAUUGAAGAGGAAGGAUAUGGGUAUCUGAUAAAAUU